GCGCCUGUAGCUCAACUGGAUAGAGCAACGGCCUUCUAAGCCGUAGGUUGCAGGUUCGAGCCCUGUCGGGUGCG
rnacentral:tRNA from 1 species